rnacentral:rRNA from 1 species
AUAGGGGAGCCGCAGGGAAACCGAGUCUUAACCGGGCGUUAAGUUGCAGGGUAUAGACCCGAAACCCGGUGAUCUAGCCAUGGGCAGGUUGAAGGUUGGGUAACACUAACUGGAGGACCGAACCGACUAAUGUUGAAAAAUUAGCGGAUGACCUGUGGCUGGGGGUGAAAGGCCAAUCAAACCGGGAGAUAGCUGGUUCUCCCCGAAAGCUAUUUAGGUAGCGCCUCGUGAAUUCAUCUCCGGGGGUAGAGCACUGUUUCGGCUAGGGGGCCAUCCCGGCUUACCAACCCGAUGCAAACUGCGAAUACCGGAGAAUGUUAUCACGGGAGACACACGGCGGGUGCUAACGUCCGUCGUGAAGAGGGAAACAACCCAGACCGCCAGCUAAGGUCCCAAAGUCAUGGUUAAGUGGGAAACGAUGUGGGAAGGCCCAGACAGCCAGGAUGUUGGCUUAGAAGCAGCCAUCAUUUAAAGAAAGCGUAAUAGCUCACUGGUCGAGUCGGCCUGCGCGGAAGAUGUAACGGGGCUAAACCAUGCACCGAAGCUGCGGCAGCGACACUAUGUGUUGUUGGGUAGGGGAGCGUUCUGUAAGCCUGUGAAGGUGGCCUGUGAGGGUUGCUGGAGGUAUCAGAAGUGCGAAUGCUGACAUAAGUAACGAUAAAGCGGGUGAAAAGCCCGCUCGCCGGAAGACCAAGGGUUCCUGUCCAACGUUAAUCGGGGCAGGGUGAGUCGACCCCUAAGGCGAGGCCGAAAGGCGUAGUCGAUGGGAAACGGGUUAAUAUUCCCGUACUUGGUGUUACUGCGAAGGGGGGACGGAGAAGGCUAUGUUGGCCGGGCGACGGUUGUCCCGGUUUAAGCGUGUAGGUGUGUGUUCCAGGUAAAUCCGGUUCACUUUAACACUGAGGCGUGAUGACGAGGCACUACGGUGCUGAAGCAACAAAUGCCCUGCUUCCAGGAAAAGCCUCUAAGCAUCAGGUAACAUCAAAUCGUACCCCAAACCGACACAGGUGGUCAGGUAGAGAAUACCAAGGCGCUUGAGAGAACUCGGGUGAAGGAACUAGGCAAAAUGGUGCCGUAACUUCGGGAGAAGGCACGCUGACAUGUAGGUGAAGUGAUUUACUCAUGGAGCUGAAGUCAGUCGAAGAUACCAGCUGGCUGCAACUGUUUAUUAAAAACACAGCACUGUGCAAACACGAAAGUGGACGUAUACGGUGUGACGCCUGCCCGGUGCCGGAAGGUUAAUUGAUGGGGUCAGCGCAAGCGAAGCUCCUGAUCGAAGCCCCGGUAAACGGCGGCCGUAACUAUAACGGUCCUAAGGUAGCGAAAUUCCUUGUCGGGUAAGUUCCGACCUGCACGAAUGGCGUAAUGAUGGCCAGGCUGUCUCCACCCGAGACUCAGUGAAAUUGAACUCGCUGUGAAGAUGCAGUGUACCCGCGGCAAGACGGAAAGACCCCGUGAACCUUUACUAUAGCUUGACACUGAACAUUGAGCCUUGAUGUGUAGGAUAGGUGGGAGGCUUUGAAGUGUGGACGCCAGUCUGCAUGGAGCCGACCUUGAAAUACCACCCUUUAAUGUUUGAUGUUCUAACGUGGACCCGUAAUCCGGGUUGCGGACAGUGUCUGGUGGGUAGUUUGACUGGGGCGGUCUCCUCCUAAAGAGUAACGGAGGAGCACGAAGGUUGGCUAAUCCUGGUCGGACAUCAGGAGGUUAGUGCAAUGGCAUAAGCCAGCUUGACUGCGAGCGUGACGGCGCGAGCAGGUGCGAAAGCAGGUCAUAGUGAUCCGGUGGUUCUGAAUGGAAGGGCCAUCGCUCAACGGAUAAAAGGUACUCCGGGGAUAACAGGCUGAUACCGCCCAAGAGUUCAUAUCGACGGCGGUGUUUGGCACCUCGAUGUCGGCUCAUCACAUCCUGGGGCUGAAGUAGGUCCCAAGGGUAUGGCUGUUCGCCAUUUAAAGUGGUACGCGAGCUGGGUUUAGAACGUCGUGAGACAGUUCGGUCCCUAUCUGCCGUGGGCGCUGGAGAACUGAGGGGGGCUGCUCCUAGUACGAGAGGACCGGAGUGGACGCAUCACUGGUGUUCGGGUUGUCAUGCCAAUGGCACUGCCCGGUAGCUAAAUGCGGAAGAGAUAAGUGCUGAAAGCAUCUAAGCACGAAACUUGCCCCGA